ACUGCAGCACUUUAACAGAACCAUCACAACCCUGGGGACACCCGCGCAUUCACCCAGGAGGAAGCUGAGGGUGUGGUUAGGAAACCUGUCCCGAGGUAACUGGCUGCCCUGCUUCCAUGAUUACAAACAGCCCUAGGAGCCAUGUCAUAUACAUGCCCUACCUUGAGAAAUACAACUACUGAAAAUGAGCGAGUGCUGUCUGACGGCUCCACAUAAUCUAGUUUCCCCUACGAAGGGUUGGAUGAGCAGAAGUAUCCUCCACCCGGAGUGUGGGUUGAACGCUGGGGCUGUUACGGUGAGGGCUGAAUGAUCAGGCCCCAAAAGGCCAGCUCAGAAAGAAUCCAUCAGUAAGAAUGCAGCUCAGCAGUCUUAACUCAGCUGCUUCAGUGUCCACAAAUUCUUCAGUUAAAACCAUUUGAAACUUGUU